AAAGAUUUUUUUUUUUACUUAACACACAUAUCAUGCCCUGUUUCAGGGCAACUUCAUGCAUGAAUAUAAAGUUCUGCUGCAAAUCUAAUUACUGUCUUUCAAAAGCUUUUCUUUUGUUAUUUCCUCUCUCAUCACUUUGCUUGAGAAUGCUGCUUCUAAUGUAUGAUAUAUAUGGCUUUACCCAGGCUUUAAGGUCGCAGCAGGUGCCUGAUAAAAAGAAGCAGAAGUUUUGCUUGCCUAGAACAUGUUAGCUGGGAUGUGAACUUUUGCAAUAAUGGCUUUAUGUCACCCAACUGCUGGCACUGUCGCUCCUUUGCCAAAUUUUUCUGUGCUUCUUACUGGCCUAAGCUCUUGGCAGCCUCUGCAGUCAUUACGGAGAGACCCCUCAUGGGUCACGUUGGAGCGCAGUACUGGUUCUCUUGAUUCUGAGCUUGGAAUAGAGAGCAGCUUUUCAACAACCAAAGCCUUAAGAUUACAUUAAAAUUCUGUUUGCUGAUCCCAGUGUUUCUUUUUGCUACAAAUAAUCAGCAGUCAAGCAUGUGGCUUCAUCAAGGAACUACACCUGGAAAAAGAAACAACAUAUCUAUGCUGAUAGGUUUCAUUAGUCUUAGGAUGGAAGAUUGCAGCAGUUUGGUUGGAUUGUUGUAACUGCAGAUGUGAUGUGCCUUGGUGUUUUCACACUCAUCAGUCCAUCCUGUUUGUUAGUAGGCAGGACAGUUCUGAAUGAAGUAAAUCAUCAAGUGAAGCAGGUACAUGCCCACUUCAAUUCUAACAGUUAAAUUAUUUCAGUAUCCUAUUUCAGUCAGGUGUAUGUAGACCAUGUAAAAUAUGGAAAUACAAAUAGGGCUGGAGAUUUUCUUUUUUAAUCUGGCCGUUUCAAUCUUUCUUAAAUAACUUCAAAAUCUGAAGCCAGUCAUUAAAAAAUAAAGUAAGCACCACCAUAUUUCAUGGAGGUAUCCUUUGCUGUCCUUUUGUCAGGAUGUAUGCUUUAAUUUCUCAAACAAUGCAAUAACACCAUGAAAGUAAUUGAUUUAAACCUCAAGUUUUGUCUUGAAAAAAAACAUUUUCAAAAAUACUGUUGUAAGUAAAAGAUUUUCAUAUAUAUGUUUGUGAACAUUUUUGUGUUUAUUUGCAUUUAAUGAAUACCUAAUUAAUAUGGUUUUGUUUGUUGAAGAUCUGAAAAAAAAAAGGUUGGGGAUUUCUUUCAGGAAUUGAGAGAUGCUUUUGUCAACAGCUGUAAACACUGAGGAAUAAAGAACUGUAUUUAAAAUUA